rnacentral:rRNA from 1 species
UAGGGAAUCUUCGGCAAUGGACGCAAGUCUGACCGAGCAACGCCGCGUGAGUGAAGAAGGUUUUCGGAUCGUAAAACUCUGUUGUUAGAGAAGAACAAGGAUGAGAGUAGAACGUUCAUCCCUUGACGGUAUCUAACCAGAAAGCCACGGCUAACUACGUGCCAGCAGCCGCGGUAAUACGUAGGUGGCAAGCGUUGUCCGGAUUUAUUGGGCGUAAAGCGAGCGCAGGCGGUUUCUUAAGUCUGAUGUGAAAGCCCCCGGCUCAACCGGGGAGGGUCAUUGGAAACUGGGAGACUUGAGUGCAGAAGAGGAGAGUGGAAUUCCAUGUGUAGCGGUGAAAUGCGUAGAUAUAUGGAGGAACACCAGUGGCGAAGGCGGCUCUCUGGUCUGUAACUGACGCUGAGGCUCGAAAGCGUGGGGAGCAAACAGG